UCAUUUGAAUCAUAUAAAAGCUUACGUCUCAAUUGAAACCCUAGCCUCCCUCAGAUUCGUCGCUUUACUGGAUUCAUCAUCACACUAGGGUUUCAGCUUCUUCACAACGCUUUCAAUCUCAAUCUCUAUCGUCUUCUUCACCACGCUCCUAAUCGUCUUCUUUACCCGAACAAUCAUCAGUUUCCUUCUCAAAUUCUAGGGUUUCCCCGAAUUCUCUCUCCCUCUUCGCAAGCAACUAGUUUCAAGGAACCCUGCAUUUUAUCUAUCGCGAUUGAAGCAAAAAAGGUAACUUUUAUUCUCAAUCUGUAAUGUUCUAAACGUAUCUUUCUUUGAUGAUCCGUGUUUAAUGUUCGUUCAAUCUUGAUUUAUAAUUCGAUAAUUCCUAUGUUCGUCUUUUUGUUUGAUCGUGAAUUGAACUAUGUGUGUUUGAAUUGUUAUUUUUGUUUGUUGGUUGGUUUUAGGUGUUUUUGGAAUGUGGGGCAUCUGUUUGUUUAAUUUUCAAGUUUUUAUUAUGAUUUGGUUAUGUUGGUAUUAGGUGAUUUGGGAAUGUAGGGUUUCUACUGAAUACAAUUACUCUAUCAUUAGUAAUUUUAGUUUGUUUGUUUUUUUCAAAUACAAUUGUUGUGACGUAAGAGGGUUGGAAUAGACAUUGAUAUCUCGAUAUUGGCUCAAUAAAAAUAUAUGUGGAGUUGAAACUAAUUAUUUAUGUUGGAGAUGACGUAAGAGGGUUGGAAUAAACAUUGAGAGCUCAUUUUUUUUUAUCAAAAUUCGAUUGCUUUUGAUGAUUUUUUUUCGAGUUUAUUUAUGUUGGAAUAAACUAAUUAUUUAAAUACAAUUUUUUUGACAACACUUUUUCUAUAAAUAAUUCUUGAUGCUUUGUGAUUUAGAUGUGUUAAUUUAAAGCCUUUUCUUUACUACUUGCUUAAUUUUAGGUUGUUUUUUUUGCCUCAGAUGGGCUUUCCUCAAAAUUAACCAUAAAUGCAUAAGAAAAAUAAAAUAUAUAAGUUGUACAUUAUGCCAAAAAGGUUGUACUCCAAUGAUGUUAGUUGAUAGUCAUGUAAUCAUCAUUGGGAGGAUUUAAAAAAAGAGCAUGUUUUGGGAAGUAUGAAACAAUUUGAUGCAUGUGGGUAGAAGGUUUAGAAGAUUUGUUGUAUGAGGGAAACAAAGAGAUGAAUUUAAAACUGAUUAUGUAUAUGUCGUUGCUGGCCAGGUGCUUCUUUGUUUGUUAGUUGUAUUGUUAAUAGACUUCUAAUCCUCUAUGAGUUUCGCUCAAAGUUUUAAAAUCCGGUUUUUAUACCGUACCGGAAUUGGGUCAGAAAUGGUUAACUGGGUGUAUCGGACGGUUCAACCGGGUGUACCGGGUGGUUUAACCGGGUUUACCGGAUGAAGCAGCCGGUUUGAACCGGUUUUUAAACAUUGGUUCGCUUUCUGUUAUUAUUUAGUGAAAAAUAUAUCAUGUAUGUUGUUUGUCAAAUUGCCUCUAAUAGAUGUGAAAUAAGUCAAUGCUCCCAUCUUCAUAAAGAAAGUGAAAAAAAGAAGGAUUGAAUGAUGGAGCAUGCUCUACACUUGGGAACAACUCAAAGGUAUGAUUUAUUCUUGGAACCUUCUUCUUAUUGCAUCACGUUGGUGAAGGCAGAAAUCCUAAAUCGAACAUUCACGAAAACCCUUUGAUUAAGUCGCUAGGGUUGAGAAAGAUACGACUUCGGUGGUGGCGAUUAUUGGUGAGAUUUUAUUGAUCUAAUUUUGACCAGGACGAUCAAUACCAUUUUUACUAUAUUUCUGCAAAAAAAAUGCAUUAUCUGUUGUUUGUCACAAGUUAUUGCAUCUUAAUGCGUAAUCUGUUGAGGCGUAUAACCACAUUAUAUGUGAAUCGAACAAUUUCAGGUGUAUUGAAGUAGUGUUAUAAUUCUUGGAUUGAAGGUUGAACCCCUAUGUGAUAAUAGUUGGUCUCUUCUUUUUUCUAUGGCUUAAAAAGAACGACACUUGAAUGUAACCUUUAUGUAUUUUUUUUUCGUGUGAGUUUUGAAGGCCAAAUGAAAGUGACUGCUUAUGUUGGUAUGGCGAAGUAUUUAGUUUAAAUAAAUUGAUGUUAGUGUAUUUUGUUUAAUCUCAGCUCCUUUAUAUAAAAUUUUUGAUAAAAAUGUGACAAUUUUGCAGGUGAAGUUUGGGGAAACAUGCUGGUGCUUCAAUAAAAAUAUUAUCAACUUGUGUUAAAGGUAAAAAAUUAUUAAGUUGUAGGGAGCUCUAAUAAGCAAAGGGAGAAUGGUGUUGGUGGAGCUUGUAUUAUUCAGAUGGAACGAUGAAGCACUCCGUUGUCUUGCAGUGAUCCAACCAACAACCAUAAGGUAUUCAUAAAGGAUUAGGUAAGAUAUUCACUAAAAAGACUUGCUAACAAUGAUGCUUCUCGAGCUAAAUGUCCAUCAUCUUGAAGAUAUGCAAGUCAAGCAAGACCAGUCUUUUACAAAACUAACAUUCUCUUCAAUCUCGCAUCUUCGCAAUGCCUACAGUCUCACAUGGUCGGCCUGCCCUUUAUUGUCCAUUCUCUAAAUUAUAAAUAUGAGUGGUAACAUAGGUGGGUUGUGUAAUGUGGUCAUAACAGGUAUACAGCUGUGGCUAAAUAGCUGGGUCAGGUAGCGGGUCAAAAUCCAACCUCUACUGGUUUUGUGGCAAAGAUAACAAGAAAAUAAGGGCUCUAUUUUUCUGAAUGAUGGAUCAGCAGAUCCUUCUUCAAGUAAUUCGCCAUAUAACGAGUCAGCUUCGGAUGUUGGUCCUAUUUGAGUACUCCCCAACCCUUGAUGGUAACAGUUACUUUUCAUGAACCACUUUAUGUAUUUUGUAUAUGUGAAAUGCUCUAAUUUAUUCAGCAGAUCAAGUACUGGUUAAUUAGGCAUCAAUAAUUUGGAUCUACUGGGAGGAAAAGUCAAACUUUGUCAAGUCUUAGGUAUGUGUAGAGUAAUCGAUUAUCCUUUUCUUUGUCACAAAUAUUAGUAUACAAUUCAGAACAUAUUUAUACUACAAAUUAUAACUUAUUUGGACGCCAACUAUAUUAUGAUCACUUUCCGCCAAUUCUAUUUGGAGUCGGAUUUUCUUUUGGAUUAAAAUCCAUCCUUUUGGACCGAACAUGGAGGUGAGGUAUAUGCUUUAAUUUUUUAAUGAAUGGGGUUGCUCUGCAAAUAGAAUAAAGAUCAUUCUGACUAUAGUUUAUACUUGCUUUUGGAUUUUGUCUUCUGGAAAUGAGAGUCCUUAAUGGGAAGCUGGUGUCACUUAAAAGGUGUUGGACGAUAUUAAGGACUCGACAUUGAUGUGGCUGGUGAACCAUACAAAGUUCUCAAUUCAAUAAUGGAGAGUUUAGCUUAGAAGUUUGACUUUUGUUAUGUUGUUUUUUCGGUACCUUAGUUUUUUUUUCUUUUUGCUGUAUGUAGCUUGGGGCGAGUCUCGGUUGCUUGCUGGGUCUCCCCAAGUUUCCCUUUUUUGGUUAAAUAAAGACAGACAGCCUUGCAAAAAAAAUUAUAAUAUUUGUACUUAUAUUUGGAGUUCUGUUUAUUUUGCA